rnacentral:rRNA from 1 species
CCUGACUGCUAUCGGAUUGAUACUAAGCCAUGCGAGUCAUUGUAGCAAUACAAGGCAGACGGCUCAGUAACGCGUAGUUAACCUACCCUAUGGACGGGGAUAACCUCGGGAAACUGAGAAUAAUACCCGAUAGAACAUUAUACCUGGAAUGGUUUAUGUUUCAAAUAAUUUAUUGCCGUAGGAUGGGACUGCGGCCUAUCAGUUUGUUGGUGAGGUAAUGGCCCACCAAGACUAUUACAGGUACGGGCUCUGAGAGGAGUAGCCCGGAGAUGGGUACUGAGACACGGACCCAGGCCCUAUGGGGCGCAGCAGGCGAGAAAACUUUGCAAUGUGCGAAAGCACGACAAGGUUAAUCCGAGUGGUUUCUGCUAAAGGAACCUUUUGUCAGUCCUAGAAACACUGAUGAAUAAGGGGUGGGCAAGUUCUGGUGUCAGCCGCCGCGGUAAAACCAGCACCUCAAGUGGUCAGGAUGAUUAUUGGGCCUAAAGCAUCCGUAGCCUGCUUUGUUAGUUUUCGGUUAAAUCCAUACGCUUAACGUAUGGGCUGCCGGGAAUACUGCAAAGCUAGGGAGUGGGAGAGGUAGACGGUACUCGGUAGGAAGGGGUAAAAUCCUUUGAUCUAUUGAUGACCACCUGUGGCGAAGGCGGUCUACCAGAACACGUCCGACGGUGAGGGAUGAAAGCUGGGGGAGCAAACCGGAUUAGAUACCCGGGUAGUCCCAGCUGUAAACUAUGCAAACUCGGUGAUGCAUUGGCUUGAUGCCAAUGCAGUGCCGCAGGGAAGCCGUUAAGUUUGCCGCCUGGGAAGUACGUACGCAAGUAUGAAACUUAAAGGAAUUGGCGGGGGAGCACCACAAGGGGUGAAGCCUGCGGUUC